rnacentral:tRNA from 1 species
GCGCGGGUGGUGAAAUGGUAUACACGCAUCUUUGAGGUGGAUGUGCCGCAAGGCGUGGAGGUUCGACUCCUCUCCCGCGCA